rnacentral:lncRNA from 1 species
CAGAGGGCUAGAGAAUUUAAAAGGAAAAGAAGCCAUAAUAAAUAGGUACAUAUUGUAUUACUUAACAUAAACUUAGAGAACUUGUACAUAUAGUAUUCAUAGAUAUUACUAGGUUUAAGGGCCACGCAUAUUAUAUUUGAAUUAUUUGAAUCUACUUAUUCCUUCUAUUCUCACAUUGCAGGAUCAUAAAAUACUCUACCUAAAAGAAUACCCUACAUAAAAAAUCUAGCUAAAGAAGAAAUUCUGGGAGUUCCCACUGUGGUGCAGUGGGUUGAUGAUGAGGUUGGCUCUGUGGAGGCACUAGUUUGAUCCUCAGCACAGCAUAGUGGGCUAAGGAUCCAGCCUUGCUGCAGCUGUAGCAUAGGUCACAGUUCUAGCUCAGAUUCAAUUCCUGGCCCAGGAAUUUCCAAAUGCUGGGGGGAGGAAAGGGGGAGGAAGAGAAAAAUGUAUCUUAUUCUUAUGUAACUUUGUAUUUUUAUUUUCUUCACAGACCUGUGACACUCUGGCCUCUUAUUUCUAGGUAGAGUAAUAAGGCUCAGACUUUUCAAAAAAAUUAUUAUUCAAUUAAAAAAUCCCAAUUUCUUUUUUAUGAGCCACAUAGCACAGACUAAAAUUCUAGAUGUUUAAUCUUUGUGGGUUUUUUUUCAGUUUAUUUGGUCUCUAGGAAUUAUUGAGGAAACAUUUCUAUAUCUAUAUAAUAAAAAUAUAAGCUGAUAAGAAAUAAAUUAUAUGAAUUUCCUGCUCUUGUUUCUUUGUGAUUUAAAAAUGUUGUUGUAUAUUCAACAUGUAUAGUCAUUGUAACAGAAUAUUUUUCAGUACAAUUUAUUCUAUGUCAGCCAAAACCAUCCUUUAUGCCCCAUCCACCACUGACCUUGGAAACAGGAGACCCCUGUUCUGUAACCAGUUCUGCCACCAAAUAGCUGUGUGGUUUGGGGAAAGUCUUUUGUCUUUACUUGCUGCUUUGCUAAAUGAAAUGAUUUAUGUAACUUGAUUGUUUUUAUGGUCCUACUCAAGGACCUGAAUUUUAUAUAUUUAAAUUUCCAUGGAAGCAUAUCAGAAUAUUUGAUAAUUAUUGUUACAGACUGCCCUACUGUGUAGAUUACAUCAAUGGGUAUAAUGGAAAAUAACUACUGAAAUGAACCCUUAAGUGGCUUCAAGAAUAAUAUCACUACUGGCAAUGUUGGUGUCUUAUGAAGACAACCAGCAGUUUUAAAGGUGGACUAUGCAUUUGCUUAUAUUAUGGCUUCACUUCUUUCACUAUCAGAUAAUCUUCACAUGAUGUUACCAAAUGUAACUGAAAAAGAUCACAAAGUACCCAAUAAUCUUAGGAAACGGUCACAGCGCACUAAAGAAAACUAAGGCAACAAGAGCAACAUUAGAGGAAACAAGAGCAACAUUAGAGUCAAGCAGUGAGAUGGAGAAGGUUGAAAUGACAUUUCGAAUUUAGAAAUUCUAUUUAUAGUCACUGGAACUUUCCAAGACUAUUCAGUUUUGGACAUAUUCUCAACUUGAAAGCAAAGAACAUUAUGUUAUGUUAUUCUUAUGUUAUCCGAAGAACACUAUGUAAUUCUAUUCAUUCGCUUGAACUAUAUAGAAUGUCAAGGAAAACAACUUGAUAUUUUUUGGGAAAAACCCCAAAGAUAGCUUCCUCACAUAUUAAGGAAGAGUUAGAUGUUAAACAUACAUAAAGUGACUUACAUUACUAAUUUCAAAGAAAUACUGAAUAAAACAACUCCAGUUAAGUAGUUUUAGUAUACAAUCUAUAUUUGAAUCUAUUUCUACCUAGAAUUUCUCUGGACAAAUGCUGUUCCUGCUGUAAUAUGAAAACAGAUGCCCCUUUUAUUCCUGGAAAAUAGUCUUAUAGAGAAAAGGCAUCAGAUGAUUAAAGACUUAUUUUCUGAUAAACUACUGUAAUAAGGAAAUUCAUAUAAUCAAUCAGGGAAAUAUACUGGGAAAUCUUUCAUCUGUUAAGGAACAGGAGACCAGCUGCAUAUUUUCCCAGAUUACUUCAUAAAUACUUAAUAACAUAUCAUCUGGCUAUCUAGUAUACAACUAGUUGAUCUGUCACAUCUGUCAGAACAAAGUGCCUUUGUCUUGUAAGGAAAAAAGGAAAGCUAGGAGUCCGCCAGAAACAGAUCUUUUACCAUUUUACAAUUUUAGAGGGUAGGAUAACAAGGAAAGCUCCUCUAUGGAAUUUCUUUAGAAAAAAAUUGAAAUAAUAUGUACAGAAUAAUUUGCUUAUCAAAUUAUUAUUACACAUGCUUGUAGGAAAUUCCCAUGGCAAAAUGAGUUAAUAAAAGAAAACAACUAAAUUUUUUCAUUUUGUCAGUAUAGCUACUCUGGAGGGAUUGCCCUCCAACUAGCAGGCUUGUCAGGAAAUUGAAAUGGAGCAGGGAUGGAAAGAUUUAUAGACUUCCUAUCCAUUUCUACAUCAGAGAAAGUGGACUUCUUGUUUUUAUUAAUAUUUGAUCUCUGCAAACGGAGGAAAUGUCUGGCCUCUUAAUAUCUUGCUGAAAUGCCAGAAAAAUUCACAAGGUCAUUAUCAUUCGUCUCACAAGACUCUCAUUUGAUUUUUUGGGUUAAAAAGCCCAGUAGAAGCAAAAGUUUCAAAACUUUCUAUACUUCCCAGCAUUUAAAUCAUUCGACAAUCCACAAAUUAAAUCAUUAUAUAGUAAUAUAGGCAGGGUUCCCAUCUUUUUCACUCACUUAGUUUGUUCCAUCUAGUUAAGUCUAACCAAUUAGAAAACCCAGUCUAAAACAAUAGUAGGAAAUUACUGCAAAGUAGCCAGCUGGACUCAUAUAUUUCCUUUAUGGGUCCAAAACACAUUUCUAACCACUGGGUAAGGACUGGAACAGGCUCUCCAUAAUCUAAUUAUCUCUUAAUGAUCCUUUGUUGUUGUUGCUCCUCUUUUAUUUUUUUUAAUGUUAUUUUAUCAUGAUCUACCUUCAAGUAAUAUUGUUCUAUUGCAUAUGUUAUAUAUGGACCUUAUAAUACUAUACCCCCAUUUCUCCUCUCCUGGCCUUUAUGAUAUUGUUGCCAUACAUUUUACUUUUACAUAUAUUAUACACCAUGUACUCCACUGCUAUUAUUUUUGUUUUAAAGAAAUUCAAAUUUAAAGGAAAAAAAACAUAUGUUUACCCAAAUAGUUAUCAUUUUCAGUGUCUUCAUUCCUUUGUGGAGACCCUUAAUUACAUCUGCUAUCAUUUUCAUUCUACAUUAAGAACUUUCUUUGUCAUUUUUUUGUAGUGUAACUUCCUGGUGAUAAAUUAUUUCAGUUAUUUGAAAAACAAACAAACAAAAAAAUGGAGUUCCCAUUGUGGCACAGCGGAAACGAAUCUGACUAGGAAUCAUGAGGUUGCAGGUUCAAUCCCUGGCCUCAUUUAGUGGGUUAUGGAUCCAUCAUUGCUGUGAGCUGGGGUAUAGGUCACAAGACACAGCUUAGAUCUGUGGCUGUGGCUUAGGCCAGCAGCUGUAGGCCAAUUCAACCCCUAGCCUGGGAACUUCCAUAUGCUGUGGGUGUAGCCCUAAAAAGAAAAAAAAACUUUUUCAGUUAUUUGCCUUUGUUUUUGAAGGACACAGUCCCUGGGUAUAGAAUUUGAGAGUGACAGAUUUUCUUUUCAGUCAUUUAAAGACAGCUUCAUUGUUUCUUGCUUUUAUUAUUUCUGAUGAGAAAUCGUCUAUGUUCCUUAUCUCUCUUCCUCUCUACUCAAUGUAUCCCUAUUCUCUGGAUGCUUUCAAGAUUUCUCUUUAUUAAUGGCUUUGACUGAUUUGAUUCUCUUCAUAAAUGGUUUUGACUAGAUGCUAUUUUCUACAUUUUCCCUGAGUUUAGAGUUAGUUGAGCUUCUUAAAUCUGUUGCUUUAUAGCUUUCAUCAACUUUGGAAACAUUUUAGCCAUUUUUUUAAAUAACUACUUUAUGUUUUGGAGGAGUUUUAGGUUCACAACAAAAUUGAAGGGACAGUACAGAUUUCCUACAGUCCCUGCCCCUCCCUCAACAGCCUGCCCUAUUAUCAACAUCUCCACCAGAGUAGUAUGUUGUUACAAUUGAUGAGCCUACACUGACACAUCGUAAUUGCCUAUAGUCCAUAAUUUAUGAUUCACUCUUGAGGUUGUAUAUUCUAUGGGUUUAGGCAAAUAUACAAUAACAUAUACCCAUCAUUAUUAUGAUAUCAUAAGGAGUAUUCUUUUUUUUAUGUCUUUUUGUCCUUUUAGGGCCACAUUCGUGGCAUAUGGAGGUUCCCAGGCUAGGGGUCUAAUCAGAGCUAUAGCUGCCAGCCUAUGCCAGAGCUACAGCAAUGCCAUAUCCGAGCCACGUCUGCAACCUACAACACAGCUCACAGCAAUGCAAGAUCCUUAACCCACUGAGCAAGGUCAGGGAUCAAACCUGCAACCUCAUGGUUCCUAGUUGGAUUCGUUUCCACUGCGCCACGAAAGGAACUCCCAUAAGGAGAAUUCUAGUGACAUUAAAAAUCUUCUACACUCUGUGAUAAAGCGUUAAUUAUAAGGGAACCCCCAUAAGGCUAUCAGCUGAUUUCUCUACAGAAACACUACAUACCAGAAGAGAGAGGCAAGAUGUAUUCAAAGUUUUAAAAGGGAAAAUUUUGCAGCCUAGUAUACUCUACCCAGCAAGAAUAACAUUUAAAAUAGAAGAAAUAAAGAAUUUUUCCAACAAACAAAAGCUAAAAGAGUACAGCAAUACUAAACCCAUUCUAAAGGAAAUACUGAAAGGGCUUCUCUAAAUAAAAAAAAGAAGAAACAGAGAUCCUGCUGAGUAGCAUUGAGAACUAUGUCUUGAUAUUUAUAUUGCAACAGAACAAAGGGUGGGGGGAAAAUGUAUACAUGUAAAAGGAACUUGGUCCCCAUGCUGUACAGCAGAAAAAAAAUUAAAUAAUAAAACAAGGAAAAAAGAGAAGAAACAGGAUGGAGAAAAUCAUAAUUGGAAAGCAAUCACUUAAAUAAGCCA